rnacentral:rRNA from 1 species
AGCAGCCGCGGUAAUUCCAGCUCCAAUAGCGUAUAUUAAAGUUGUUGCAGUUAAAAGCUCGUAGUUGAAUUUCGGGAUCAAUACGUCGGUCGUGCUUAGGUACGUACUGGCGUAAUUGAUUUCUCCCUUCUGACGAACCAUGAUGUCAUUAACUUGGUGUCAUGGGAAAUCAGGACUGUUACUUUGAAAAAUUAGAGUGUUUAAAGCAGGCUCACGCUUGAAUACAUUAGCAUGGAAUAAUGAAAUAGGACGUUCGAUCCUAUUUUGUUGGUUUUUAGGAUCAACGUAAUGAUUAAUAGGGAUAGUUGGGGGCAUUAGUAUUCAAUUGUCAGAGGUGAAAUUCUUGGAUUUAUUGAAGACUAACUACUGCGAAAGCAUUUGCCAAGGAUGUUUUCAUUAAUCAAGAACGAAAGUUAGGGGAUCGAAGACGAUCAGAUACCGUCGUAGUCU